rnacentral:rRNA from 1 species
GAUGAACGCUGGCGGCGUGCCUAAUACAUGCAAGUCGAGCGAACGGACGAGAAGCUUGCUUCUCUGAUGUUAGCGGCGGACGGGUGAGUAACACGUGGAUAACCUACCUAUAAGACUGGGAUAACUUCGGGAAACCGGAGCUAAUACCGGCUAAUAUUUUGAACCGCAUGGUUCAAAAGUGAAUGACGGUUUUGCUGUCACUUAUAGCUGGAUCCGCGCUGCAUUAGCUAGUUGGUAAGGUAACGGCUUACCAAGGCAACGAUGCAUAGCCGACCUGAGAGGGUGAUCGGCCACACUGGAACUGAGACACGGUCCAGACUCCUACGGGAGGCAGCAGUAGGGAAUCUUCCGCAAUGGGCGAAAGCCUGACGGAGCAACGCCGCGUGAGUGAUGAAGGUCUUCGGAUCGUAAAACUCUGUUACUAGGGAAGAACAGAUGUGUAAGUAACUGUGCACGUCUUGACGGUACCUAAUCAGAAAGCAACGGCUAACUACGUG